UAUCCCCUGUGUGCCUUGUUCCUACGACUAUAUAGAUUAAGUGGGAAAGGAUGUGGGAUUGCACAGACAACUAGGAUGUUGGCUUAGAAGCAGCCAUUCAUUUAAAGAGUGCGUAAUAGCUCACUAGUCGAGUGAUCCUGCGCCGAAAAUUACCGGGGCUCAAAUCUAUUACCGAAGCUAUGGCUUGAUACAUUUGUAUCAGGGGUAGGGGAGCAUUGUGUACUGGCAGAAGCUAUACCGUAAGGAAUGGUGGACGGUACACAAGAGAGAAUGUUGGCAUAAGUAGCGCAAGGCAGGUGAGAAUCCUGCCCGCCGAAUACCCAAGGUUUCCUGAGGAAGGAUCGUCCUCUCAGGGUUAGUCAGGGCCUAAGCCGAGAACGAAAGUUGUAGGCGAUGGACAACGGGUUAAGAUUCCCGUACCACCAAUUAUCGUUUGAAAGAUGGAGUGACACAGCAGGAUAGGUUAAGCACACGAUUGGAAAUGUGUGUCCAAAUAGUGAGGGAGUUAGAGCAGGAAAAUCCGCUUUAACAAUUCUGGGCUAUGAUGGGGAGCGAAAAUAAGUAGCGAAGUAACCGAUUUCACACUGUCAAGAAAAGCUUCUAUUGAGAUAAAAGGUGCCUGUACCGAGAACCGACACAGGUGGGAGAGUAGAGAAUACUAAGGCGAGCGAGAAAACUAUCGUUAAGGAACUCGGCAAAAUGACCCCGUAACUUCGGGAGAAGGGGUGCCGGAAUAGGUUUAGAGCUAAUUCCGGCCGCAGAGAACAGGUCCAAGCAACUGUUUAACAAAAACACAGGUCUAUGCUAAAUCGAAAGAUGAUGUAUAUGGGCUGACGCCUGCCCGGUGCUGGAAGGUUAAGAGGAAGUGUUAGCGUAAGCGAAGCUCAGAAUCGAAGCCCCAGUAAACGGCGGCCGUAACUAUAACGGUCCUAAGGUAGCGAAAUUCCUUGUCGGGUAAGUUCCGACCCGCACGAAAGGCGUAAUGAUUUGGACACUGUCUCAACGAUGGACUCGGUGAAAUUGUAGUACCGGUAAAGAUGCCGGUUACCCGCAGCAGGACGGAAAGACCCCGUGGAGCUUUACUGUAGCUUGGCACUGGACUUUGGUAUAUCAUGUACAGGAUAGGUGGGAGACUAAGAAGCGUGUACGCUAGUAUGCGUGGAGUCAAUGUUGGGAUACCACUCUUGUUAUAUCAGUGUUCUAACCGUGCACCAUGAAUCUGGUGUC
rnacentral:rRNA from 1 species